GGCACUAUGGCCGAGUGGUUAAGGCGACAGACUUGAAAUCUGUUGGGUUCUGCCCGCGCUGGUUCAAAUCCUGCUGGUGUCG
rnacentral:tRNA from 1 species